GCGGAAAUCUUAUUACCAAAUUUUACAAGUUACAACAAGUUUACAUUGUAUUUAUCGGAGUGAUUACAAAAGUGGUUCAAAGAAAUAACUUUGAACUGUUAUAAAUUAUUUAUAGUUUUGAAAUAUAUGCUAGCUUAAGGGACCAUCUUCAAUAAGAAGUAUAGAAUGGUUACUUAGACUUAUAAGAAGGCCGAGCCCACCGGCACUUAACACCAUCAACAGCAGCACAAAGUUAAAACCUGAAAAACAACAGGGAAUAAAACCCUGAGUACGGAAUUACUCAACAAGACUUACCCGACUAAAGAAAAGACUCUCAAGGGUAUGCUGGCUAGAGAGAUUCAAGGUAUGGCUUAUCAAGAAUCAAAGACUCUGUUUUGCAGAAAAGCUUACUAUGAGUGGAUCCUUAAAAGUCCAUUUUUACUUGUCAGGUUAAGUAAAGUUACCUGCAUCUAGAGUUCUUUCUACCCUAGUUCAAUCACUUGACCUGCACUAGCCGUCUUUUAUCAACCCUUUAAGUUCACUAGAAUGCUA
rnacentral:lncRNA from 1 species